rnacentral:rRNA from 1 species
UGGGGAAUUUUGGACAAUGGGGGAAACCCUGAUCCAGCCAUCCCGCGUGUGCGAUGAAGGCCUUCGGGUUGUAAAGCACUUUUGGCAGGAAAGAAACGUCAUGGGUUAAUACCCCGUGAAACUGACGGUACCUGCAGAAUAAGCACCGGCUAACUACGUGCCAGCAGCCGCGGUAAUACGUAGGGUGCAAGCGUUAAUCGGAAUUACUGGGCGUAAAGCGUGCGCAGGCGGUUCGGAAAGAAAGAUGUGAAAUCCCAGAGCUCAACUUUGGAACUGCAUUUUUAACUACCGGGCUAGAGUGUGUCAGAGGGAGGUGGAAUUCCGCGUGUAGCAGUGAAAUGCGUAGUUAUGCGGAGGAACACCGAUGGCGAAGUCAGCCUCCUGGGAUAACACUGACGCUCAUGCACGAAAGCGUGGGGAGCAAACAGG